rnacentral:lncRNA from 1 species
AUGGGCCCCGGCGGAGGCGGCCGCGGGGCCGCGGUGGCCCCAAACGCCUCCGCCGAGCCGCCUCGCGCCAUCCGGCCCGCUGCUCCGCGGCCUCGCGCGCAUCAGCAUCAGCAUCGGCACCGGCUCCGGGGCGGCCAGGAGGAGACGGGGGCGGCAGGCUCCUGCCGGGCGGCAAGGGCCGCCGGAGCUGGCGUUCCCGCUGAGCCUGGCAUCCCGCUGCCACUCGCUUCCCAACCCGGGAGGGAGGAGGGCACGCGGGGGGACCGCGGCCAUGGGAUGCUCCCUGCUCCGCCGCUCCGCCGGCCUCGGCCCUCGGCACACGCUGCCCCACGGGAGCAUCCCGGCCGGCAGCUGCUUUUUGGCAUCGCCCCGAAGACGCGGCUCCGGGGGAUGAGCCGGGGCCGAAGGGACCGCGGCCUGAUACCCCUUGGAUGCGGGGGUCCUGGAGCCGCCGGAGGAGCGCAGCAGCGGGCACCCCACGGCAUGGCGAUUUUGGGAUGCACCUGGGCCGCGGCCUCCCCCCCCACCCCAGCCGCCCUCCAGCCGGAGCCGGGCAUCGCCGCGCCGGGUGCGCCGCCUCCCCCCGCUCCUGCAAACCCGCCGCUCUCCAAAGGAUGGAGCAGCAAAAUAUUAACCAGAGCCCCUAGCGUUUAUCACGCCGUAAAUCUGCGCUUUCAACAGCUUUACGAGGCUGCGGGGAGAGGGGAGAGAACAAAACGCUCUUCCCUCGCCGUCGGACGCGGGCUUUGCGUGCCAGGGCCCCCGGCGCUGCCUCCGGCCGUGCUCGCCCCCCCGAGCCGGCUCCGUUUGGGCAGGAGGGGCGGUGGCGAAAGGUCGGUCCGGCAUUGGCUCGGGGGGGAAAACGGCAGCAAGCCUCUCCCGGCCUGGCCCCCUCACGGACGCCUCCAAAUUCAGCCCAGGGGUCCAGACCCGGUGAGGAGCAUCCAUCCCUUUUCCCGGCUUUGCACUGGCAUCGCCCACUGGCCCCGAAGAGCCCGUUGCCGUCUCGGUGUGGGGCUGAGCCCCCCUGAACCCCAUUCACCCCGUGGGGAAGGCGGCGAAACCUCGGCGCAAUCCUGUCCCCACGCGGCCACCGGCUCCGUCCCGCGCCCGGAGCGAGAGUCGGCGCCCGCCGCCGCCACCCCCCGGGGCCCCGCCGGCAGCAGGAAUUGCAAAACGAGCGGCGAGGGGAGGAAGCUCGGGCUGUUUUUAAGGCGGUCGGACGCAGCUGGGAAGCGCAUUACCGGCGCUGGCGGCCCCGGCAUGCACACCUGCAGCACACGCGGCGCCGCGUGCGGGAUCAUGGCUCGCGGUGGGGCACGGAGCGGCGCUCCGCUCACCGCGGCGCGCGGCCGCACGGGGCCGGCGUGCGUUCGGACACGGCCAUUCCCGCGCACGCGUGUGCAAGCACGGGGCACACACCGAGGCCUGUGCAAGCAUUGCACACACGCUCCGGCUCCCACGACGAGCAGCCGGGCCUUGCGCAAGCCCGCCCGGGCCCGGAGCAAGGCGCCGACGGGAUGCCAAGCAGCUGGCACCACGUGCGGGGCCGGAGGAGACAGCUGCGCGGCGGGCAGCCCCCCCGGAGCAGCCGGCAGAGCACGGUGCGGCACGGCACGGCGCUGCCCUCGAAGGAAAUGCGCUCACUCCCAUGUGCCGCACACUUGGGUUUUGCCUCGCUGCUAUUUUUAUUUGACUUUUCAGGCCCGUUUCCUUUUUCCGGCUGUUUUGCUGCGAUUCCACCGUCGCUCCGACCUCGCUUUUCCCCUCCCUCCCUUUAGCCCCUUCCUUCGCUCUUUCCUUCCUUUCCAUGCACUCAUUCCUGCCGCUGCGCCGGGCUCGUCUCCCCCCGCCGCCGGGCUUGCCGCGAGCACCCAGAAACGCCCGCGCGCCCUGCGCCGCUCCGGGAGGAGCCGGCCGGAGCCGCGGAGCAGGGGGGGAGCAGCCAGGAGAGCCCCCGGGCUGGGGGGGUCCGUGGCAGGCCGGAGGCGAUGCCGGGCGCCCGGCCGUUUCCGGGCCGGCAGCAGCAGCAGCGUUCUCCCUCCCCGGCUGCUACGGCAGAGCAAGGAGCACGGCCAGCCCCGGCAGCGCUCCGGUUUAUCCGGGAAUGUGCCGGCAGCUCGGGGUGUGUGGGGGGAACUUUGCUCCAGCCUUGCCGCGGGAGCUGCCGGGAGUCACCUGGGCAGCGCCGGGGCCCAGGCGUCCCGGCACAUGGGAAAAGCGCCGGAGCCCCGCGGCCGGCGCCCCCCCCCCCCGGCACCGCUGUCCCCGCAGGGGACGUCGGGGCUAUUUGGGGACCCCCGCGCGAGGGCACGGUUCUACGUGGGGGUGGUUGCUGGGUCCCCCCCCCACCGCUGCCUCUCUUCCCUCUAUUCAAGGCGAUUAAAACCGCCGUCUGCAUUUGAUCUUUUGUUUAGGGAAAAGGGGGGGGAAAAAACAAGAAAGGAAAAAAAAAACAACAAAAGGGAAAGAAAAACGCAAGCCCAGACGAGGGUCGCACCGCGGAGCCCCCCCGCGGGGGCGUCAGCGAAACAAGGGCCCCGACCGCGCUCGGCGGUGGCAGGGGGGGCUCGAGCCCUGCAGCCCCCAGGGAGCCCCCGAGGAGGAGGAGGAAGGGCCGGGAGGAAGGUCCAGGGGCCCCACGUCAGGCAGCCGGGGGGGGGGGCACGGCAGGGGGUGCUCCCCCCCCCCCCAGGGCCAGCCAGCCUGACCCCCCUAAACCUGGCACCCUGGUAG